AUACGGAGGAUGCGAGCGUUAUCCGGAUUUAUUGGGUUUAAAGGGUGCGUAGGCUGUGCGUUAAGUCAGGGGUGAAAUGCCGUCGCUCAACGACGGAGCUGCCCUUGAUACUGGCGUGCUGGAGUACGGAUGCCGUUGGAGGAAUGAGUGGUGUAGCGGUGAAAUGCUUAGAUAUCACUCAGAACACCGAUUGCGAAGGCCGCUGACGAAUCCGUCACUGACGCUGAGGCGCGAAAGUGUGGGGAUAGAACAGGAUUAGAUACCCUGGUAUUCCACGCCGUAAACGAUGAUGACUAACCGUCGGCGAUAGACAGCCGGUGGCCAAGCGAAAGCGAUAAGUCAUCCACCUGGGGAGUACGUCGGCAACGAUGAAACUCAAAUGAAUUGACGGGG
rnacentral:rRNA from 1 species